UACAGAGGUGCUCAAGCGUUGUUUCGGAUUCAUUGGGCGUAAAGGGUGCGUAGGCGGCGCGGUAAGUCGGGUGUGAAAUCUCGGGAGCUUAACUCCGAAACUGCAUUCGAUACUGCCGUGCUUGGAGGACUGGAGAGGAGACGUGGAAUUUACGGUGUAGCGGUGAAAUGCGUAGAUAUCGUAAGGAAGACCAGUGGCGAAGGCGG
rnacentral:rRNA from 1 species